rnacentral:rRNA from 13 species
UAGAAGAGUUUGAUCCUGGCUCAGAAUAAAUGCUAGUAAUAGGCUUAAGACAUGCAAGUUGAGCGCGUUUUUAUUUAUAAAACGAAGCAGCGAACGGGUGAGUAACACGUAAGAAUUUACCUAAUAGUUUGGGGCACGAUUGUUAUCUAAUCCCAUCGAUUUAAAAAGAGUUUCUUUUCAGCUAUUAGAUAAGCUUGCGUAAGAUUAGGUAGUUGGUGAGGUAAUAGCUCCACCAAGCCGAAGAUCUUUAGCUGGUUUGAAAGAAUGUCCAGCCACACUGGGACUGAGACACG